rnacentral:rRNA from 1 species
GUAUGGGGAUCUGCCCGAUAGAGGGGGAUAACUACUGGAAACGGUGGCUAAUACCGCAUAAUGUCUACGGACCAAAGCAGGGGCUCUUCGGACCUUGCACUAUCGGAUGAACCCAUAUGGGAUUAGCUAGCAGGUGGGGUAAAGGCUCACCUAGGCGACGAUCUCUAGCUGGUCUGAGAGGAUGAUCAGCCACACUGGGACUGAGACACGGCCCAG